CCCAAACCUAAACCUACUGCUAAUAGCCUCCCUCUCCCUCAACACACAGCCCCAAAAUCCCAUUUCUCAGAUGUUUCAAAUUUCAAUUUCCUACAUUCACGCCAUACGUUACCCCCGAAAUCUUUGUCACAACUACUUACCAUCUAGGUUAUAAAAGUCAAAAUUCACUUACCUAUUUUGUUCAAACAAUCGGAUUACCCCGUCAUUUUUUCACUUUCUCGUUUUCCUAUUUGUCUUGCAAGAACAAUCAAACAAUGGUGCGAACGGUAAAGCGGGAAUUGAUGGACAAUCGAGCAGUUGAAAUGCCUCACCUUUAAGAAUCGAAUUAGCAGUAAUUUGAUUUCCCAUCAUUUUAGAAAUUUCUUUCUUUGUUUUUGUAUUUCAAUUUUGAGUUAUUUAUUUAUUUUGCAUAUUCGGGCCAUUAAUGUCUCUGUUUUUUCCCCAUAUUUGUUUACUUUGAUUAAUUCGUAUUUAGUGAAAAGAUUGAUGAAAGCUCAUUGCAAAAAAAUCUCUAUAAUUCGAUUUGUUUUGUCUUCAUAUACUGGAAAAAAAAAUUGAGUGUUUUAAUCUUUAAUUUAAUUUUCUUCCGGAAUGGGUGGUUCCGGGAAGUGGAUAAAAUCACUCAUUGGUUUGAAGAAGCCGGGAUCAAAUGACCGUGUAAGCUAAUAAUCUUUGUAUUAUCUUUAUAUGAUUUUUUUGGUGUUUUAUGCAAUGAUUCUUAUAUUGAACUGUGUUGAGCCUAAUAAUCUUUGUAUUAUCUUUAUAUGAUUUUUUUUGGUGUUUUAUACAAUGAUUUUUAUAUUGAACUGUGUUGAGCUUAAUUCAUAUGUAAUAGUGUGUUUGGUUGGGCUUAAUAGUUGUUGUUGACUUCUUUUUGCCUUGUUGGCUUAAUGAUUGUUAUUGUUGUGUCGUCCAUGAGUUGCUCGCUGAAAAUGUCCGCUCGAUUCAUGCUAGACUGCUAGGUUUUGCCCUGAAAUAAGCACGAGCCACCCAUGGGUCGAGUCCCAAUGGUCAAGCUGAUGAUAUCACUGUUUAGCCCGUGCUCACAAAAUUCUUGGAUCUGCCCCUACCUGGAGGCACUAUUGUAUUCUCUCUGUCUCUGAGAAAACACAUAUUUCUAUGACCAAAAAUAACCUUCAUUCAGAUAACCGAUCUAUAGAUAAUCUUCAAAUGAAAUGCUCAAAGCUUCACCUUCUCUAGACUGAUCAUUCCCCUCCCAUGAUGUUUCACAAUACUUAUUUAUAUUCGUGUUGUUCUUUGAAGAUAAUUGAGCGUCCAUGGCCAUGCCAGCAUCUGAGGCCACAUUCUGCAUCGACCUAGGUGACAAUCAUGUCCGAGCAUUUGUUGGUAACAUUGAAGGGAAGUUGAGUUUUUUCGAUUGAUGAAGUUCCUCGUAGACAAUAAAAUGCAACAUCGUGUGCUAUUGCUGCGGCUUCAGGCGUUGAAUAAGAGCCUAACCAGAGACGUUCUUGUUGAGUUUAUGACCCAAAUUAGGAAAAAAAAUUGUUCCCUUACUUUCAAGUGGAAAAAAUUAUUACUUUAUUUUCGCGUGAUUUUAUUGGAAAUAUAUUAUUUUCUUAUUCCAUAUUAUUUUCAUAUUUAUGAUAUAGUAUGUACCUAUAAAUAGUAGCCCCUUCUUUCAGUUUAGGUAAAAAAACCAAAAUUGCCGUGUUGUAAUUUUCUCUCUAUAUCUGAUCAAGUUUUGAAAAAAAUAACAAAGCAUGAUAAUGUUAAGGCAUUAUUGGAUGAAUUAAAGAAGCUCUAUCUAGUUACGUCUUUGCCUAACAAGCUGUUUAUAGAAUUUUUUUUGGCUUUAUGACAAACCCCUCUAAAGAUUUGGAGGAUAAACUUAACACCUUUAAUAAGUUGGUCCAAGAUAUCAUCAAUGUAGUUGAUGAAAUUUUUGAGGAAUAUAAGGCUGUUGUGUUAGUUAAUGCUAUUCCUGAAGCUUAUGUGGAAGUCAAAGAUGCCAUAACAUAUGAAAGAGAUACCCUUACACCUGAAAUGGUUAUAAACUUUUUAAGGAGUAAGGAACUUGAGCUCAAAACUGAAAAAGGUAGUGGUGACUUGAAAACCUAUUUGUUAGAGGGAGGACCUUAAGUAAGUAUAAUAGUACUCAAGAAAAUCAAAGUAAUCAGGGAAAAAAAUCAUAGAAAGAAAUUCAAAAGUAGGGGCAGGUUGUAGAACUCCAAAUAAUUUUAAACACCUUAGUGACACUAAGACAUGAAUAUUGGAUGGUUAAAGUAUACUUCAAAUUUUUAGUCUCAUUUGAGACUCAUUUAUGACAUAGGAAACAUUCGAUUUGGAAAAUUAUAUCUAAAGAAAAGUUGUAGCUCUUUGAGUUAGCUUUCUAACGUACUUUGAAUUAUCUCAAUCGGAUAUCGGGAGAAGAAGUUAUGAUAGAAAUACUAAAGGCUAUACGGUAUCAAUUGAAGUAUGCGGAAUAUGAAAAGUCAAAUUCCUACACGAUUUUCUAGCACCUUCUUAAACCUAUAACUCCCACAUAAAUGGCACCCGUAUUAAUAAGUAUUAGGCCCUUCACUUGACCUUAAGUUGUGAGAUUUUUACCUAUAAAUAGGCCUCAAUGUAUACACAUUUUUCACACCAAGACAAAAGCUUCUAAACAUAAAAGUGAGUUUUCAAGUCUAGAAAAAGGAGAAAGGAGAGGGAGGAAAAUUAGUUUUUCCUAGAAGUUUUGGUGCUAUCAAUAAGUAUUUUCCAAGCAUCAAUUCUCAACAGAGUGUUAUUUUUUGAAACAUCAAAGGAGUGCAUUUUUCAACAAGGUUCAAAGUAUCAAUCAAGGUAGGUAGAGGUGCAAAGUGUUAAUUCGUGUUAACUUAUAAGUUUCUAGCAAAUGAAGAUAUACGUUAAUGUUUGUAUGUCUAAUGGUAUCUCCAAUACGUCAUACACCUCCAUGUCUAAUGGUACAUCCGGGUACGGCAUGUACUUCCGGUCGAAGCGUCGUGUUAAGUCAUGACUCUACGUGUUUGGGAUUCUACCAAAAAUCCUACUAUGAAAAGGUUUCUAAAGUUACAGCUUUGAAAUAUAUAGCUUGAUCACGGAUGCACCAAUGAUAUCUCUUGAGUUUUGUUAACUCACGGGUUUAACCCCUUCUCUACAGAUUGAUAUGAUUCUACCUUGGGCCUGGAUGAUGGAAAAGAUGAGAGAGUGGUGCAACAAGCCUAUGGAAAAUCCGGUGAACAAGUUAUUUAGAUUUAUUUUUGUGAACGUUUUCAAUGUUAUUUCUUUAAAGUAUUUGAAUAACGC
rnacentral:lncRNA from 1 species